UACAUGGGGUGCAACCGUUGCUCGGAAUUAUUGGGCGUAAAGCGCACGUAGGCGGUUUGGUAAGUCGGAUGUGAAAUCCCUCGGCUCAACUGAGGAAGUGCAUCCGAAACUGGCAGGCUUGAGUACUAAAGAGGGUCGCGGAAUUCCCGGUGUAGAGGUGAAAUUCGUAGAUAUCGGGAGGAACACCGGUGGCGAAGGCGGCGACCUGGGUAGAUACUGACGCUGAGGUGCGAAAGCGUGGGGAGCAAACAGG
rnacentral:rRNA from 1 species